AUCUUGAUAAAUCUCAUGCUAAAAGGAGUUUUGUUUUGAUAAAUUUCUAUUUGUGAUGUCGUGGCUAAUGUUUUCCCUUAUACUAUCUAUGUUUCAACCCCUGGAUAACUUCUGUUAAAUUUUUAUAUUUUGAUUUUUAUGCAGUGGGUUGACUAAUUCAAAUUACACAGCUCAGCCAGUUGUAUGAGAAAUACAAAUCAAAAGUUUUGUUUUCUGUUCUGUGUCCUUACUCCUUAUGCAACUCAAGUUCUGAAUUGCAUAUCACUAAUAAGGCACAAUGCUUGCUACUAAUUUUUAAUAUUUUAUAGCAAUUUUGUUCUCAUAUCAUUUUAUUUGGUUCUUCUCAUGUUUUCAAGGUUUAGGAUGUGUAAUGUUGCAAAAUAAUAUGAUGAUAGGGGGCAUGUUAAAUCAAUUAUUUGAAUUUGAAUUCAGUAUUUUUCUUCUCUCACAUUGUUGAAGCUGAUGAGCUUUAACAUCAAAUGUAGGUUCCAUUUGGUGAAUAAUGGUUCUGGGAGAUUUAUGGAAAAACUGACAAAGAUUUAUCUAAUAAUGGUUCUGGAAGAUUUAGGGUAAAACUUGAAGAUUAUGGUUCUUUGUGUUUUCAAGCAGAAAGGAAUAUCAUGAGGUUAUAUGCAUCCUGAUGUUAUAAGGCUAAAUGCUUGCUGCUCAAGCAGCUGUAAGUCACAUGUUAGGAUGUAGCAGAAGGGUAAGUUACUUAGGGACUGCUAGGUUAGUUAGGGGUUAUUAAUGUAUUUAGUUAGUACUAGGAGAAGAUUAGCUAUAAAUAGAGGGAGAUCAAAUUAGAGGGGUGCAUUAUGUAUCAAUGUAAUAAACAAUAAAGCAUAACACAUUUCAGUAAAAAGAAGAAAUUUUGAGGGAGGUGAAUUCAAUAUGGCUGCACCUGUAAGCACCCCUAGGAAAAAAAAAUGACCAAACAAUUGACUGGAAAAAGGAUGAUACCCCUUUGCACUUUGCAGCAAGGUUUCUAUCUAUUUUAUAUCCAUGUAGAGUCAGAAGAGGAGCACAACAGGUAUGUAAUUUACUAGCCCCUCAGUUUUCAGUUUUUAAAAUAAAGUACAAUUGGUUGUUUAUUUUAUUUGCUCAUGUUAAAACUCAUUUUCUGCUAUAUAGCUAUGGAAGCGAUUCAGGGGAGACGACAAGUAACCAGAUUUAAAAAGUUUAGAAAACGAUUAUAAUUUCAAUAAUCUAGCACCUGAGAAGAAGCACCAUCUCCCAUCUGCUUACAAUCGUUUCAUGAAAGCUGAUGCUGCUUGAGCUUAGCUCUUUGUUGUUGGCACAAAGCGCAGGGUGGAUCUCUGCAGUGAAGUGUGGUCACUGCAGCAACCUCUCUUUUCACAGCACCAGACCCCCAAAUUCUCAAAAUCAAAACCAUUGACCACAUCAUCAGUCUCCAGGGAUUUUACAGUGAUGCCAAAAAGGGGCAAGCAUCAUCUUCAUCUUCUUCACCAACUACUUCUAGCGAGUCAGUGUCUCCUAAAGCAACACCAUUUGUUGUCAAACGUAACAACCCUAUAUCUGAUCUGCAAUAGAAGAGAGCUGAUGCUGCUUGGGCUUAUCUCUUUGUUGUUGGCAAAAAGCGCAAGAGAGGUAUCGUGCUUCAACUCUGUUAAGAAAAUGGAGGAUGGCUCAAAUUGAUGAGAGCAUGAAGCAGUUGGAUAGAUGUUUCAGGGUAGGAUAUGUCCUUGAAGGCUGAACCAUUCUAUGGUGUGCAAAUAUAUCUUCAUUGUGUUUCAUUAGUUGAAUGCUUUCAGAGAAGAGGUUUCUCAAGUUAAACAUGUCUGUAGAUGUGGCCACAAUAAGGGAGUUCUAGCCAUAAACAUAGAAAGCUCAGAUUGGUUUACACGAGGAUUUUCACUGCUCCAUACAAAAGCAUUAUUGGCAUCAAAAGCGAAAUCAGAAAAUGAAUGAUGUUACUACUGUUGAAACUCAGAAUUCUAAGUUGGUCUGUGAUUGAUGCUCAUUGUGUCUAUCUUUUGCUUUGAAUUGCUAAGUUUUUUUCACGUACCAUCAUGAAUAUGAAACAUAGUAGAGGCA